rnacentral:rRNA from 1 species
UACGUAGGGUGCAGGCGUUAAUCGGAAUUACUGGGCGUAAAGCGUGCGCAGACGGUUUCGUAAGUCGGGUGUGAAAUCCCCGGGCUCAACCUGGGAAUUGCAUUCGAAACUGCGAGGCUAGGGUACGGAAGAGGGAAGCGGAAUUCCUGGUGUAGCGGUGAAAUGCGUAGAUAUCAGGAGGAACACCGGCGGCGAAGGCGGCCCUCUGGACCGUUGCUGACGCUGAGACGCGAAAGCGUGGGGAGCAAACAGG